UGUAAAGCAAGGAAGAAGAAUAGUAAAAAUCGCCUUUCAGAGAGAAAAUCCUAGGCUGUAAGAUUUUCAAGAGAUUUUGAACCAGCUUCAGAGUUAUAGCAAAACUAUCGGUUUAACACCGUUAUCAUUAUAAGAGCACAAAUUUAGGUGGUACCGCGACUAUAAGUUCGCCCUAAUU
rnacentral:ncRNA from 1 species